rnacentral:rRNA from 1 species
AGCGGCGGAGCAUGCGGAUUAAUUCGAUGCAACGCGUAGAACCUUACCUGGGUUUGACAUGGAUCGGGAGCGCUCAGAGAUGGGUGUGCCUCUUUUGGGGUCGGUUCACAGGUGGUGCAUGGCUGUCGUCAGCUCGUGUCGUGAGAUGUUGGGUUAAGUCCCGCAACGAGCGCAACCCUUGUUCACUGUUGCCAGCACGUUAUGGUGGGGACUCAGUGGAGACCGCCGGGGUCAACUCGGAGGAAGGUGGGGAUGACGUCAAGUCAUCAUGCCCCUUAUGUCCAGGGCUUCACGCAUGCUACAAUGGCUGGUACAGAGAGUGGCGAGCCUGUGAGGGUGAGCGAAUCUCGGAAAGCCGGUCUCAGUUCGGAUUGGGGUCUGCAACUCGACCUCAUGAAGUCGGAGUCGCUAGUAAUCGCAGAUCAGCAACGCUGCGGUGAAUACGUUCCCGGGGCUUGUACACACCGCCCGUCAAGUCAUGAAAGUUGGUAACACCCGAAGCCGGUGGCCUAACCGUUGUGGGGGAGCCGUCGAAGGUGGGACUGGUGAUUAGGACUAAGUCGUAACAAAAUCGAAUCCCGCGGCCGCC